CGCGACCCCAGGUCAGGCGGGGCUACCCGCUUGAGUUUAAGCAUAUCAAUAAGCGGAGGAAAAG
rnacentral:rRNA from 1 species